UACGGGGGGGGCAAGCGUUGUUCGGAAUUACUGGGCGUAAAGGGCUCGUAGGUGGCCAACUAAGUCAGACGUGAAAUCCCCAGGCUCAACUUGGGAACUGCGUCUGAUACUGGAUGGCUUGAAUUCGGGAGAGGGAUGCAGAAUUCCAGGUGUAGCGGUGAAAUGCGCAGAUAUCAGGAGGAACACCGGUGGCGAAGGCGGUUCUCUGGGCAUGACCUGACGCUGAGGAGCGAAAGUGUGGGGAGCGAACAGG
rnacentral:rRNA from 1 species